AACGAACGCUGGCGGCAUGCCUAACACAUGCAAGUCGAACGAGAACUUCGGGUCUAGUGGCGCCCGGGUGCGUAACGCGUGGGAACCUGCCCUUAGGGUCGGAAUAACUCCCCGAAAGGGGUGCUAAUACCGGAUAAUGUCUUCGGACCAAAGAUUUAUCGCCUUUGGAUGGGCCCGCGUUGGAUUAGCUAUUUGGUAAGGUAAAAGCCUACCAAGGGAACGAUGCGUAGCUGGCCUGAGAGGGUGAUCAGCCACACUGGGACUGAGACACGGCCCAGACGCGUACGGGAGGCAGCAGUAGGGAAUCUUCCGCAAUGGGCGAAAGCUGGACGGAGCAACGCCGCGUGAGGGAUGAAGGUCUUCGGAUCGUAAAACUCUGUUAUUAGGGAAGAACAAAUGUGUAAGUAACUAUGCACGUCUUGACGGUACCUAAUCAGAAAGCCACGGCUAACUACGUG
rnacentral:rRNA from 1 species